rnacentral:rRNA from 1 species
AGUGAACGCUGGCGGUAGGCCUAACACAUGCAAGUCGAACGGCAGCACAGUAAGAGCUUGCUCUUACGGGUGGCGAGUGGCGGACGGGUGAGGAAUACAUCGGAAUCUACUUUUUCGUGGGGGAUAACGUAGGGAAACUUACGCUAAUACCGCAUACGACCUACGGGUGAAAGCAGGGGAUCUUCGGACCUUUCGCGAUUGAAUGAGCCGAUGUCGGAUUAGCUAGUUGGCGGGGUAAAGGCCCACCAAGGCGACGAUCCGUAGCUGGUCUGAGAGGAUGAUCAGCCACACUGGAACUGAGACACGGUCCAGACUCCUACGGGAGGCAGCAGUGGGGAAUAUUGGACAAUGGGCGCAAGCCUGAUCCAGCCAUACCGCGUGAGUGAUGAAGGCCUUCGGGUUGUAAAGCUCUUUUGUUGGGAAAGAAAAGCAGCAUGUGAAUCCCCCGCUGUUCUGACGGUACCCAAUGAAUAAGCACCGGCUAACUUCGUG